rnacentral:rRNA from 1 species
AGAGUUUGAUUCUGGCUCAGAACGAACGCUGGCGGCGUGGAUAAGACAUGCAAGUCGUGCGACAGACCAGGAAUUGAUUACUUCGGUUUGAUUUUCCUGACGAUGAGCGGCGAACGGGUGCGUAACACGUGAGAAACCUGCCCUAAAGUUCGGGAUAGCCCUACGAAAGUAGGAUUAAUACCGAAUGUGGCCAAGGAAGGGCAUCUUCCCUUGGCUAAAGCUCGGUUAUAGAGCGCUUUUGGAUGGUCUCGCGGUCUAUCAGCUUGUUGGUGAGGUAACGGCUCACCAAGGCUCUGACGGAUAGCUGGUCUGAGAGGAUGAUCAGCCUCACUGGAACUGAGACACGGUCCAGACACCUACGGGUGGCAGCAGUCGAGAAUCAUUCACAAUGGGCGAAAGCCUGAUGGUGCGACGCCGCGUGGGGGAUGAAGGGCUUCGGUUCGUAAACCCCUGUCAUCUGUGAGUAAGGCUCCCAAUAAAAGCUUGGGAGAUUGAUAUCAGCAGAAGAGGAAGGGACGGCUAACUCAGUGCCAGCAGCCGCGGUAAUACUGAGGUCCCAAGCGUUGUUCGGAUUUACUGGGCGUAAAGGGUGCGUAGGCGGCUAUAAAAGUUUGGUGUGAAAUCUCCGGGCUCAACCCGGAAACUGCAUUGAAAACUAGAUAGCUAGAGGAUCGGAGAGGAGAUUGGAAUUCUCAGUGUAGCAGUGAAAUGCGUAGAUAUUGAGAGGAACACCAGUUGCGAAGGCGGAUCUCUGGACGGUUCCUGACGCUGAGGCACGAAAGCUGGGGUAGCGAAGAGGAUUAGAUACCCUCGUAGUCCCAGCCGUAAACGGUGCGCACUUGCUGUGGGCGGAUUCGACCCCGUCCGUGGCGAAGCUAACGCGAUAAGUGCGCCGCCUGGGGAGUACGGUCGCAAGAUUAAAACUCAAAGAAAUUGACGGGGGCCUGCACAAGCGGUGGAGUAUGUGGCUUAAUUCGAUGCAACGCGAAAAACCUUACCGGGGCUUGACAUGAUAGAAGUAGGAACCUGAAAGGGGGACGAACGGUAUCCAGUCCGUAGCUAUUACAGGUGUUGCAUGGCU